CGGCGCGAGGUGCGGAGAUCCGGGUGCUCCAGCCGCCCGCACGGGUGUUCAGCGUCGCCCGGUGCCAG
rnacentral:tRNA from 1 species